GGGCCUAGCCCUAAACACUAAUAAUAAUAAAAACAAAAUUAUUCGCCAGAGUACUACCGGCAACAGCCCGAAACUCAAAGGACUUGGCGGUGCUUUAUACCCUUCUAGAGGAGCCUGUUCUAUAAUCGAUAAACCCCGAUAAACCUCACCAAUCCUUGCUAAUACAGUCUAUAUACCGCCAUCUUCAGCAAACCCUUAAAAGGGACACAAGUAAACUCUAUGUUAACACAUAACAGACGGUAUGUCAAGGUGUGACCUACUUGUUUUACCCGAGAAAAUUUAAUACGAAAGCCAUUAUGAAAUUAAUAGCCAAAGGAGGAUUUAGCAGUAAACUAAGAAUAGAGUGGUUAGUUGAAUCAGGCCAUGAAGCACCC
rnacentral:rRNA from 1 species